AUGCAUAGCAGAUCAGGAAUUUCCCUUAAAACCAUUUUCUCAUAUCAGGUUUGCAUUAGAACAGUCUCUGAUUCUGAUUUCAAUGAACUGAAGUUAUGUAAUAUGGUCAUUAUGUGAAAACAGGCUCUUGCUUCUUCCGUGCUUCCAUCAUCUCUCCACGCCAAGAAUAUACGUACCGCAUACUUCAAUUUCCUAUUCCUUCCAUCUUCGAUUCUUCAAUUCCGCUCUAAGAUCCACACAAAAUUCUACCCUAGUGUUUGGAAAAAGCAAGUGCUGAUGCAAAUUGUGUAG